UACGUAGGGGGCAAGCGUUGUCCGGAUUUAUUGGGCGUAAAGAGCGUGUAGGCGGCCUUACAGGUCAGCUGUGAAAACUCGAGGCUCAACCUCGAGACGUCGGUUGAAACCGUAAGGCUAGAGUCCGGAAGAGGAGAGUGGAAUUCCCGGUGUAGAGGUGAAAUUCGUAGAUAUUGGGAAGAACACCAGUGGCGAAGGCGGCUAACUGGUCCGAUACUGACGCUGAGGUGCGAAAGCGUGGGGAGCAAACAGG
rnacentral:rRNA from 1 species